UACGUAGGGGGCUAGCGUUGUCCGGAAUCAUUGGGCGUAAAGCGCGCGUAGGCGGCCAGAUAAGUCCGGUGUGAAAGUCACAGGCUCAACCUGUGAAUGCCGCUGGAAACUGUCUGGCUAGAGUCCGGAAGGGGCGAGUGGAAUCCUGGUGUAGCGGUGAAAUGCGCAGAUAUCAGGAGGAACACCAAUGGCGAAGGCAGCUCUCUGGGACGGUACUGACGCUGAGACGCGAAAGCGUGGGGAGCGAACAGG
rnacentral:rRNA from 1 species